CUCAAAUUUGAAAUCUGGCGCCUUCGGUGUCCGAGUUGUAAUUUGAAGAAGGUAACUUUGGAGUUGGCUCUUGUCUAUGUUCCUUGGAACAGGACGUCACAGAGGGUGAGAAUCCCGUGCGAUGAGAUGCCCAAUUCUAUGUAAAGUGCUUUCGAAGAGUCGAGUUGUUUGGGAAUGCAGCUCUAAGUGGGUGGUAAAUUCCAUCUAAAGCUAAAUAUUGGCGAGAGACCGAUAGCGAACAAGUACAGUGAUGGAAAGAUGAAAAGAACUUUGAAAAGAGAGUGAAAAAGUACGUGAAAUUGUUGAAAGGGAAGGGCUUGAGAUCAGACUUGGUAUUUUGCGAUCCUUUCCUUCUUGGUUGGGUUCUCCGCAGCUUACUGGGCCAGCAUCGGUUUGGAUGGUAGGAUAAUGAUUAAGGAAUGUGGCUCUACUUCGGUGGAGUGUUAUAGCCUUGGUUGAUACUGCCUGUCUAGACCGAGGACUGCGUCUUUGACUAGGAUGCUGGCAUAAUGAUCUUAAGCCAC
rnacentral:rRNA from 1 species